CAGCUUCCUAAUAUGAAAAUAAAUUAACAAGCAUGGAAUCAAAAUAAAUAAGAAUGUAUUUCUUUAUAGAAAAUAGUUCUUCAUAAAUUCCCCUGAAUAUAUGACCAGGCAAUACUCUUAUUAAGACUAAUCAAAUAUGGACAAAAUGAUGUGCGAUAGGCAAUCCAAUGUCUCAAACAAAAGUUUUGUCUGACAUGAUUUCUUUUUAUGAAUCAGCAUGACUGACUUGGUUUUAUUUAUAAAUUAGGAAACAAACACUCUUCAUAUAAGCUCUAAUGUAUGGACUUUUUUUCCUUCACCUGAAAUGUAUUUUCAGAAUUCUAAUUUGAUGUUUGAAUUUAGCAUAGAAAGAAAGACUUAUUUCAAAUAUCUCUCAGCAUAAGCAGGCCAUUGUGAAAAUAUUUUGAAAAUGAAGGUGCAUACUAUUGAAUAAAGUUUGUUCGCUUGCUUAUCAGUAGCACAAGGCUUCUGGUUUGGGACUGUAAAAGAAAUUCAGGCAUGUAACUUUGUUCAGACUCCCCACACCACCAUUCUCUCUACUCACGCACAUGUUCUCUCUGAGAGUUUUAAGGAAUAAUAUACAGAAUGGUUAAAAUGCAAUAGUCUGUAAAAACAGGGGAAUACACUGACAAUUUUUUUCUUCAUAUAAACCAAUAUUUACCAGUAAUCUUGUGUUUCUAUUUUUGUUUUUUGGCAGACUUUUACCAGUAAAUAUCGGUUUAUUCCUGAAACCAGAAGCCCUAAACAUAUCUUUGUUUAUAAGCUUUCUUUUUGUGAUUAUGACUUGUGCAAUAUUAUUGGCCACAACUUUAAUCUGAGCAAUUGACACUGGUCCAUCUUCAGAUCAUUCAGAAGACUUGAAGAGGACUCCUCUUUCUACUCUGGAAUUCAAAUGUAUAUGUUCAAUCUGGAAUAAGUUAUUUAAAAGUCAAAUGUAUCAUCUUCAGCACUUAUAAAUUACAAUGCAAUUCAAACAGUUCCAAAAUACUAUAUUAUGAGCCUUACCUAUAUACGUAAUUCCUUUUAUGGUUUCAAAUUGAAAGAACACUCCAUUAAUUAUGUAUAUCAGCCUUGGUUUUUUUUUUACUGUCAAUAUUGUAAUUUUGUAAUAUUUUCAAUAUUUAAUCAAAUUGUUUACACAGAUGCCAAUUACAUUUUAUUCAAAGGUGCUUCACUUUUUCCAUACUAUGUUUCAGUCAGUAUUCAGAUUUCUUAAUUAGAAAGAUACAGAUAAUUCUGUGUGCAAGCUUUUCUCACAAUCCUAAAUAUCUCUAUAGAGAUACAGAGAUAUGUAGAGACACAACCAUACAGAUGGAAUUCUAAGCCCCACAUUGUUCAGUCUUUGUGGAUGUAUCAUGUCUUUAAAAUUGAGUGUCUGUUAACAAGGUAAUUUGAAAUUGUAUAUAACACAAUGAUCUGGUUUACAAUGUCAGGCUAAAGUUUAAUACUGAUUUGAUAGGCUAGGAUUAUAUAAAGCAGCACCCAAGCAAGGCCAUUUCUAGCUAAUUUGCUCUUUCUCCAUUGAAGUGUUAAAACAAGCCAGGAUUUAACAUGUAUACAUUGUUUUCAUUGCAGAUGAACCACAAACUAUGCCUUCAAAUGAGUCAGGAUUUAUAAAUCAACCCUAACCCCUGGUUUAAAGAUGGCUUCUGAUCCUUAGUUGUUUAGAAGUAUUUAAUCGUAGUCAUGGAAAUCUAUUAUUAAAUUCUUGAUCCUAUUUUAUUUUCUCAUUCUCACAAACAGAAGGAGGAAGUAAAAGCGAUUAUGCUGCAUGUACUCACAUAGUGCUCAUAGUUAACAUCAUUUAUUUAGCCAUAUGAAGGUUUUUUAUUCCUUUAUGUGCAAAUCUGAUCAAUGAAACAGCAGGUUCUGUAAAUAUUUUUGAAUAGAUGGCAUCAUAAAGAUAGUAAAAACUGAAAGAAGCUUUCAAGUUUGAUGAAAUACAAAAUGAACAAUAGUUUAACAGUCAAUCAUUUUGAAUUAGCUUUUAAAAUUCUUAGGGCCUAAGAUCUUCUCAAGUUGUCUGCCUGCUGGAAUCCUUAACUUAGAAUGAACCUGGCCCAAAUGUAGGAUUUGUCCCCAAGAUUUAGCACCUUGGGCACAGUUCAAACAUUUCAGAACUGUGUUUCUAGGUAAGAAGGAUAGUGGGGACUACUCUGGAAAUCACUGCUUGUUUUGAAAAUCUUCUUGUCAAGAUGAGGUAACCUGCACAAAUAAUCCAGGAAGUUCACAACGUUGUUAUUCCUUGAGAAGUAAUGACAGAUGGAUGACUUUUUGUUAUCUGACUGUAGGGUACUGCUAAAUUUAUAACCAUUUUUAAACUAGUGUGUUACCUUUUUCUCACAAUGGCAUACAUCAUUGUAUUUGAAUGGAAAGAUUUGGCAGGGCAAAGUAAUCCUAAAUACCUUUCCCCCCCUUUCUGGAAUUGAGGAUAAAAUCUAUAGGAUGUUUUGCACAUGUCCAUUUUCUGUAAAGAUCAGAACAAUCUUUCUCUUGUCUGCAUAUUUUUGCUAGUUAAUAUUUAUUAGAUGUGCCAAUCUCCAUUGGGUAUAUUUUUCUGUAACUUUUGAAAUUAUUAAACAACCAUAUACUAUAAGAGUGCACACAUUAAAACACUGGAAUGUUGAACUAGGCAUUUGUUUCAUGUAAAUAGUUAUUAUUCUUCAGUUUCAGAAAAGCCUGGAUGUCAUCUCAUAACAGUUGUAUUUUGCCCUAAUGGGAAAUGUUCAAACAUUCUGUGACGUAUGUAUUUGUGCCACUGUUUGUGUGUAACUACUAACUAUAAAUUGUAAACAUGCUUGUUUCAUUGUUCAGAAUAGUAUUUCUCUUGUUGAAAAUAUUUUCAGUUAGAUGUGAAAAGGAAUUUAUUUAUUUUUUUAAGAUUGUCUUGCAAGGUCUGUUUUCUCUACUUUUUUCUUAAAAAAUAGUAGGGUAAAGAUUGGGAUUUUGUCUAGUUUUUCACUUGAUAGACCAAAGUUACUAUUGACACUGUCUUGCAAUGCCGAUCAAAUGUAUAUCUUUUUGCACUUUAAAUGAAUAAAACAGUAAGGAAAAUGGAAGUGUCAAUUGUACAUACAUUCACUGUACAGUGAAUGUAUACCAUUAGUUAAUCUGUUUUUAAAGAGGAUAUUUUCCUUUGUGGGAAGGGGAAUACUCAAGCAAUGUAUUUGCUAGUCAAUAUAAAGUGUUUACAUGUAAUUACCUAAUAAAUUAUUUGAUUUAA